ACACGUCUUACGCUAUCCUAUAAAAAUAAUAUUAAUUCAUACAAUGUCAGUGAUACUAAGAGGAUAAACUAGGUCAGAGCUCUCCAACCCUGUUCCUGGAGAGAUACCCUCCUGUAGGUUUUCACUCCAACCCUGUUCCUGGAGAGCUACCCUCCUGUAGGUUUACACUCCAACCCUGUUCCUGGAGAGCUACCCUCCUGUAGGUUUACACUCCAACCCUGUUCCUGGAGAGCUACCCUCCUGUAGGUUUACACUCCAACCCUGUUCCUGGAGAGCUACCCUCCUGUAGGUUUUCACUCCAACCCUGUUCCUGGAGAGCUACCCUCCUGUAGGUUUUCACUCCAACCCUGUUCCUGGAGAGCUACCCUCCUGUAGGUUUUCAAUCCAACCCUGUUCCUGGAGAGCUACCCUCCUGUAGGUUUUCACUCCAACCCUGUUCCUGGAGAGCUACCCUCCUGUAGGUUUUCACUCCAACCCUGUUCCUGGAGAGAUACCCUCCUGUAGGUUUUCACUCCAACCCUGUUCCUGGAGAGAUACCCUCCUGUAGGUUUACACUCCAACCCUGUUCCUGGAGAGCUACCCUCCUGUAGGUUUACAAUCCAACCCUGUUCCUGGAGAGCUACCCUCCUGUAGGUUUUCACUCCAACCCUGUUCCUGGAGAGCUACCCUCCUGUAGGUUUACAAUCCAACCCGAGUUGCA
rnacentral:lncRNA from 1 species